rnacentral:rRNA from 1 species
GGGUAGUUUGACUGGGGCGGUCUCCUCCUAAAGAGUAACGGAGGAGCACGAAGGUUGGCUAAUCCUGGUCGGACAUCAGGAGGUUAGUGCAAUGGCAUAAGCCAGCUUGACUGCGAGCGUGACGGCGCGAGCAGGUGCGAAAGCAGGUCAUAGUGAUCCGGUGGUUCUGAAUGGAAGGGCCAUCGCUCAACGGAUAAAAGGUACUCCGGGGAUAACAGGCUGAUACCGCCCAAGAGUUCAUAUCGACGGCGGUGUUUGGCACCUCGAUGUCGGCUCAUCACAUCCUGGGGCUGAAGUAGGUCCCAAGGGUAUGGCUGUUCGCCAUUUAAAGUGGUACGCGAGCUGGGUUUAGAACGUCGUGAGACAGUUCGGUCCCUAUCUGCCGUGGGCGCUGGAGAACUGAGGGGGGCUGCUCCUAGUACGAGAGGACCGGAGUGGACGCAUCACUGGUGUUCGGGUUGUCAUGCCAAUGGCACUGCCCGGUAGCUAAAUGCGGAAGAGAUAAGUGCUGAAAGCAUCUAAGCACGAAACUUGCCCCGAGAUGAGUUCUCCCUGACUCCUUGAGAGUCCUGAAGGAACGUUGAAGACGACGACGUUGAUAGGCCGGGUGUGUAAGCGCAGCGAUGCGUUGAGCUAACCGGUACUAAU